rnacentral:lncRNA from 1 species
CUCUGGAUAAGGUGAUUCAAUCUUUCCUAUCUAACGAGCCUCUCAAUCUCGUCUUGGAGCUGGAUGUAAUCUUUAGUGUUGUGACCGUUGUCAUGAUGGUAGAAGCAGUAUUUAUUUGGAUUGUGGUGGUGCUCUGACUUCAUCCACAUCCUUAGAGGCUGAGGCAGCUCGGCUCAAACCUCCAUCAGUAUCUCCCCUGAAAAUAUUUAAAGGCAUGUAGUUAGUAUAACACCUUGGAGGUGAGGAUUGUCGAUUCCUUCUCUGAGGACUCCGAGAUCGAUGAUUCUGGCUCUUAUUUUUUUCGCCUCUGAAA